UCCGAAUUGGUGUAGUGGCUAACAUUUGACGCUCUCAGUCACAUCGUACAACAUCUAUCCUGUGGUGUUGUUGAUGCAAUGAAGUGCCGUCAAGCCCGGGGUUCGAUUCCCCGAUUCGGAG